UACGUAGGGUGCAAGCGUUGUCCGGAAUUAUUGGGCGUAAAGAGCUCGUAGGCGGUUUGUUGCGUCGGCUGUGAAAUCCCGAGGCUCAACCUCGGGUCUGCAGUCGAUACGAGCAAACUAGAGUGUUGCAGGGGAGACUGGAAUUCCUGGUGUAGCGGUGAAAUGACGCAGAUAUCAGGAGGAACACCGGUGGCGAAGGCGGGUCUCUGGGCAAACAACGUG
rnacentral:rRNA from 1 species